AGCCCACACUAGCUGGGUGACCUGAGGAGGAUGACCCAACUUCUCAGGGCCUCAGUUUUGCAUCUGUGAAACAGGGGUGACAGCAGUCCCCGUCGCGGGGCUGCUGUGAGGGUUCAAUUAGCUAGUAUAAAUAAAGUGCAAUAGCAAAGACGUAGAAUCAACCUGGGUGCCCAUCCGUGGUGGAUUGGUUAAAGAAAACGUGCUACACACACCACGGAAUACUAUGCAGCCAUGAAAAAGAAUGAAAUCACGUCCUUUGCUGCAACAUGGAUGCAGCUGGAGGUCAUAGUCCUAAGUGAAUUAAUGCAGGAACAGAAAACUAAAUACUGCACAUUCUCAUUUGUAAGUGGGAGCUGAACGUUGGGUACACAUGUACAUAAAGAUGGGAACAACAGACACUGGGGUCUCCAGAAGGGGAGAGGGAGGGAAGGGAGCAAGGGCUGCAAAACCACCUAUCAGGCACUCUGCUCACUAUUUGGGUGACAGGAUCAACAGAAGUGCAAACCUCAGCACCCCGCAAUAUACCUGUGUAAUAGACCUGCACAUGUACCUGCUGAAUCUAAAAUUUUAAAAAAGAAGCUGAGUGAGAUGGCUCAUGCCUGUAAUCCCAUCACUUUGGGAGGCCAAGGCAGGUGGAUCGCCUGAGGCCAGGAGUUCAAGACCAGCCUGAGAAACCCCAUCUCUACUAAAAAAAUAAAUAAAAUAAAAAGGAGAGAAGAAAAAAAUUGUUUUUACUAAGAAAAUAAAUAAAGUGCAUGGUGCUAUAAAUGUCAUCAUGGCAGCUCCUGUGUCGGCCGCCCGAUAUCACUAUCCCAUGCCCGCUUCUUCUUUCCACCUCCUGAGCUUCCCAGACAGUGCUCCCAAACUGUCACCACACCGGAACGCCACGCCUUCAGGGUGGGUUUUUGGAGCAGAGCGUCUUCCCGAGUACCUCUGUAUUUGUGUAUUUUUACACUUUAGAAUUAAAAUAAAUUGUAUUUUAAGAAAAUGUGGGGGUACAACAGGGAUUGUCCUUCAAAGAGAGAAGUGAGAGUGACUGCAGGCAGGGAGAGGAAGGGCAGAAACUUUAGGGUAACUCCACUCGGGCCCCGUGGGUGAAGAUGGGGCGGAAACGGACCCAGAAAUCCGAGGGUUUCUGCCCACCAGGUUUCUGUUCUCUUCUUUCCACAGAAAACAAAGGACACAGGAGACAGACCCCAAAUUUUUCAGUUUCACUUAGGCAAAUCAGAUCCGAAUUAAGGCAGCAGCGUCCGAUCUGGUUUCUCCAUGUCCACCUCCUCCCCUGUUUGUGCCAGAACCACACCCCCCUGACCUGCUGCCCUGCUGGAACCUUUUUAAACCAGCGCUCCUGGGUUCAGGGACGGAGCAGGGAUGGUGAGGAUCAGCCCAAGACAGGCUAGCUGCUCUCCAGACUCCCCCAGACCCUCCCUCUGCCCUUGACCUCUUGCCAUGGGCUCAGCCUGGGCUCUGAGCACCCCAGGAGGCUAGACGGGGAGCUGGGCUCUGCUGACUCAGGGUCCCACGGGGCUGAGGAGAUGGGUGACGGGCAGCACCCUCCUUCCUCACUUACAUCAUUUCCCCAGCGCCAUCCUUUCUCUGGAAACAUCAUAGUCAUGAUUCACUGAAGUGGGGCUAUGAGUUUUAGACACCCUGAGUUCCAGGCUGCAGUCACACGGCUCUCAUUUGUAAAAGGGGUGGGUUGAGUUGAGGACACGUCCUGUCUUCCUCUUUGCUGAGCCUGAGUUGUCUGUUCUAAAAGCGAGUGGUCUCACCAUGGCUUUCUUCCAAUUCGAGUUCACCUUGGCUGAGCCCGGGGCACCGUGGAAGUCGGUGGGCAGCUUGAGAGGAGACGGGGUCUUUCAUAUGUCCAGGGUCCUCCUCUCCUGCCUCCUCCGCCAGAGGUGGACCUCAACCCGGGGAAAGGGGGUGUC
rnacentral:lncRNA from 10 species